CGAAAGCGUGGGGAGCGAACGGGAUUAGAUACCCCGGUAGUCCACGCUGUAAACUAUGCUUGCUAGCUGUUAGAAGUAUCGACCCUUCUAGUAGCGAAGCUAACGCGUUAAGCAAGCCGCCUGUGGAGUACGAGCGCAAGCUUAAAACAUAAAGGAAUUGACGGGGACCCGCACAAGCGGUGGAGCGUGUUGUUUAAUUCGAUGGUAAGCGAAGAACCUUAUCAGGGUUUGACAUCCUGGGAAUCUUUGUGAAAGCAAAGAGCGCCUUCGGGAAUCCAGUGACAGGUGUUGCAUGGCCGUCGUCAGCUCGUGUCAUGAGAUGUUUGGUUAAGUCCAUCAACGAGCGCAACCCUUAUAGUUAGUUGAAUUUCUCUAGCUAGACUGCCCCGGUAACGGGGAGGAAGGAGGGGAUGAUGUCAGGUCAGUAUUACCCUUACACCCUGGGCUACAAACACGCUACAAUGGCCGGUACAAAGCGCAGCCAACCCGCGAGGGGGAGCAAAUCGCAUCAAAGCCGGUCUCAGUUCGGAUAGCAGGCUGAAACUCGCCUGCUUGAAGCUGGAAUCGCUAGUAACGGUAGGUCAGCACACUACCGUGAAUACGUUCCCGGGUCUUGUACACACCGCCCGUCAAGUCAUGAAAGUCGCCAA
rnacentral:rRNA from 1 species